rnacentral:rRNA from 1 species
UACGUAGGGUGCAAGCGUUGUCCGGAAUUAUUGGGCGUAAAGGGCGCGUAGGCGGCCAGCCAAGUCGAGUGUUAAAUUUCAGGGCUUAACUCUGAACAGUCGCUCGAUACUGGCAGGCUAGAGUGUGGAAGAGGGUGCUGGAAUUCCCGGUGUAGCGGUGAAAUGCGUAGAUAUCAUUUGGAACGCCAAUGGUGAAAACAGGUAGCUGGGGCUGUGCUGACGCUGAGACACGAAAGCCAGGGGAGCAAACGGG